GAGUGCUUGCACUCAGCGGUCAAAGUGCGAGUGGCGAACGGGUGAGUAACACGUGGGCAAUCUGCCCAAAAGUGGGGGAUAACACUUGGAAACAGGUGCUAAUACCGCAUCAACCGGCUGACCGCAUGGUCGGCCGGGCAAAGACGGCGUCAGCUGUCGCUUUUGGAUGAGCCCGCGGCGUAUUAACUAGUUGGUAAGGUAACGGCUUACCAAGGUGAUGAUACGUAGCCGAACUGAGAGGUUGAUCGGCCACAUUGGGACUGAGACACGGCCCAAACUCCUACGGGAGGCAGCAGUAGGGAAUCUUCCACAAUGGACGCAAGUCUGAUGGAGCAACGCCGCGUGUAUGAAGAAGGUCUUCGGAUCGUAAAAUACUGUUGUCAGAGAAGAACACGUGAUAGAGUAACUGCUAUCACGCUGACGGUAUCUGACCAGCAAGUCACGGCUAACUACGUGCCAGCAGCCGCGGUAAUACGUAGGUGGCAAGCGUUGUCCGGAUUUAUUGGGCGUAAAGGGAACGCAGGCGGUCUUUUAAGUCUGAUGUGAAAGCCUUCGGCUUAACCGGAGAAGUGCAUUGGAAACUGGAAGACUUGAGUGCAGAAGAAGAGAGUGGAACUCCAUGUGUAGCGGUGAAAUGCGUAGAUAUAUGGAAGAACACCAGUGGCGAAAGCGGCUCUCUGGUCUGUAACUGACGCUGAA
rnacentral:rRNA from 2 species